AUUAAUAGUGAUAAAAGUGUUUUAAAGAUUAUUAUUACCAGUGGAGAGAGAGAUUGUUUGGGACAUGGUUAACAACUUUGAUGAGAAGCUGGUCACCUUCUCUAGCAAUAAGCUUAGGCCCUGGAAACUUCCCGUUUACAGAAACUAGGCUCUUUGUGUGGCAAAGGCGUGUCACGUUGUGCAUUUUUAUCUGCCAAAAGAAAAACAAAACAUCUAAUGAUAUCAUCUGCAACCCUUCAGGUUCAGGAAGAAGAAGAAGACUAGAGAAAACAGCAAAGAGAAGCCAAAACGCCAUUUCUUAUUAGGCGUUGAUUAUAGCUGGUGUGAACUCUUGAAGGAGGUUAAUCGAUGUGGAGUUGGUCAAAAGACUAAAAACAUUUGAAGCUGAAAUUGCUUGGGGAAUAAGCAAAGAGAGGGAGAUUGUAGCUAUCAAUAGAAGGUCACGAUUAGGGUUAGAUAUCAAAAUCCAUGAAAGCUGUUUAUUGUUCAGGAUUUACAAAAACAUUGAGGAAAUUUCAAAUUAAGGUUCGUAAUUGUACUUCUCAAGCAAGCCACCUUAUACAUAUGCUUCUCUAAAUAUGGAAAUUGUUUGCUUGUUAUCCAUAUAUUGGGAUUUUUUUUUGCAAUAAUAAUCUAAAUAUAGAAAUUGUUUGCUUGUUAUUCGUCUUUCAUAUUUAUAGUUUUGACAAUGUAAAGUCGAUGUACAAUCAAAAUAUGAUGUAGACAAGAUUGCUAACAAGUUUUUUCAAAAAAAAAAGAUUGCUAACAAGUAGUUAUCAACUCAUCCCCUAACCAUGCGAAGUCGGUAAUUAAAAUAUGUAAUUUUCUUUUGUGACAUCCUUUUUUUUUUGUCAUCUUCUUUUGUGACAUUCUAGAAAAGAAAAAUCAAUUAAGAAAAGUAGAGAUUGAGUAAAUGAUGAGUGACAAGUUCACAUCAUUAGUGUGUAGUUCAAACCAUUUGUAGGUUUAUAAUUAUGUUUUAACAAUACUUUAGUUGGUAACUCACAAUCAAUAAUAAUAGUAAAUAUAGUUCUACAUAUUUAUUUAGCUACGCAUGUGUUUCUGUCCGGGUAGCUCACACUGUCACACAUUAUUUGAAAACAAAGUUCUAAUAUUUCUCAACGAUUUCAACUAUGCCUUAAUUAUAUACGAGUAAGAUCAGGGAUAUACACAUGAUUGGUAUUUGAAGAGGGUUUGAUUAAAUUGGCGAAUGCUUGUACAGGUUUAUCUUUUUUUUUCUUUUUUUUUCUUUUUUUUUGAUGAACCAUUUAUCUUAUUUUUUCACAUAUAUAUUGUAGUUGCACCAACCCUUGAUUUCUGAUUAAGGCUCCAACAAUAUAUAGUAUAGUGUAUUCACAUUGUAUGUUGUAUAUAUAGUACUUAGACUAUAUCAAGAUCAUGUCGGCUCGGCUUGCAUGGCGGAAGCAAUCGCGAUCAGAAGCGCUCUCCUUCAGGCAAUCGACCUCCACAUCAACCAUAUCUGGCUACGGUCAGACGCACAAGGGCUCAUCGGAGCUAUCUCGUCGGGACGACAUCCGAUUGAACUCUACGGAGUGCUCUCAGACAUCUCCACGAUUUCGCAAUCUUCUUUUUCUUCUUGUCGUUUCUAGUUCAUCAAAAGAGACUUUAAUGGGCUUGCAGACUUAUAUGCCAAAGCCUACUUGCAUUCUGGCCCAAGCCUGUGUAACUCUUAAACCUUUUAUCUUUAGAUGAAAUCUCUUAAGUUGCCCAAAAAAAAAAAAAACCAUACCAAUGUAUAUAUGCACAUCAGUGUGGACAGUUACUAGCCACCUUUUAUAUGAAUAUAUAUAAAAAGAUCGGAAUAAUUAUAAAAUUCUCUAAAACUUUAUGAGUUUCACGUAAAACGUUAUAUAGGCAUGCGUCAAUAUGAUAACUUUUUUGGGUAAAACGUAUGAUAACUUUCCGUUAAAAUAACAUUUUUACGUUGCUUAUUUUAGCUGUGAAAUAUAUAUAUAUAUAUAUUCUAGCUAAAAUAAAUAAGAAUGGAUAUCCUCAUAUCCAGCAUAUUUUUCUCUAGUUUUCCUAUGUUUGAGAAAACACAACAAAUAUUCGAAGCUUCUUUUUAUUGAUAAGAAAUUGCCAUUAAAUUUUCUAGAUUGGUUUUGGCAAAUGCUAAUGCGGAUUAGGCUUUUCGUUAUUCUCAUAAUCUAAUUCUAAAUCCGAGCCAAAUAUUACAUUGACAGGCCCGUAUAGAACAAUUUCAGGACGACAUAAAUAUCAAGUCAACUUAUACGUGUAUAGGCUUUACAAACUUUUACUGUGUCGCGUAAACUCUACUUUCAUUUACAUUUUGUUGUUGCCAGAGUGAUAAUUGGUCUAGAUCCACUAUUAAAACUGAGCACUAUAGACAGGUAAAUAUUAAAAAAAGAUAGGUAACUAUUUUCAAGUGUAUGAUGCAUCUCUGAUGAAUUAAAAAUGGGAUAUUGAUCGUAUUGCAUAACAAAUUUUGAAAAAAGAAAAGGGGGUAGAAAACGACAUUAAAUCGAUAUAUGUCAUUAAUUCCGAAUCUGCGUAACUUUAUUUCAGAAUGAAUACUUUAACCAUGUCUAUCAUCAUCAUCAUUAGAAGAAAGAAGUUAACGAACCAGGAGGGCGUGGAGUGGUUACACGUGUCUUUAUUAAAAACAACACGCCAUCUCUGAAAUCAGAUAGUAACGACGUCGUUUUCAGCUUCUUUAAUUCAUACAAACAACAUAUCAUAAUAUUUCUCCUCUCCUGUCUGUAUCGAGUGGGUCCACAGUGUGAAAGAGAGAAACAAAAGCAAGCAAGUGGUGUUUGUAUUCUGCCUCACUCUCAAUUUGUAAAUUCAGAUUUCGAUUUUGAUUUCUUGGAGUCUUUGAGAAGAAGCAAUCUUUAAUCAUCAUCAAAAUCUCCUCCAAGUCUCGAUUGAUCACCGCCUUCUUCUUCUUCACGGAGGUCUGCUUAUCUGGAAGCUCUUACACAAGAGAUUAAGAAGAAGCUUACUCGGGCGGUAGUAUCACCAGCACAAACACGCAACUUGUUGCAAGACUUGUUUGCUGAUAUAGCUAGCUCUCGAAGUCGACCAACGUGCCAAAGCAAAGAAGAAGAGGAUGGUCCGUUGUGUUUCUUCGACGUGCUUGCUGAUUAUUAUGUCAAUGUCUCUGAGAGAGGGAAGGAUAUACUUGAUUUGAUGGUUCAGCUUUGGAGCCAGUCCUUUGCAUCCCACAUAUUCUCCCUUCUCUUCCAUAAAUGGGUAUUGCGAGCUAUUAUAGCUAGAGAUAUUAUACAAGGAUCAGUCUACAAAAGGAUAUUUGCUGAGUGAUGAUGACGACGAAUAUAGCACGCGUAAGUGUUACAUUGACAAUUUGAUAUUGGGGUGUCAUGUGAACAAUAUUGUGGUUAGUGUAUUGAGUUAUGUAAAGAGAUAUAGAGGUAACUGGUAAGUGAGUUUAGAUCUUUUCCGCGCGAAGCCAUUUACUGCA